UUCUUUUAUUUCUUUCCCAAACCUGUCGCGACUCUCCACCUUCCUUGCGCGACUCUCUGCCCUCCUCGCCGCUCGAGUCUCCACCGCCUCCUCGCCGCUCGAGUCUCCGCUGCCUCCUCGCCGCUCGAUUCUCCGCCUCAUCCUUGCCACCUCUCUCUGUCCUCCUCGCCGCUCGAGUCUCCAGCUCAUCCUUGCCGCUCGAAUCUCCACCUUCUCCUCGCCAUGAAUCACCAGUUGCAGAGCAUUCCCACACAGGGGAACCAAAUGGCGGCCUAGCAAUUCACGCUGUUCGCCGACGACCCGAGGCUCGCGGAAAAAGCCGCGAGGUUCCCUUGCUUCGGCGUGAGGAAUCUCGCAGAGGCGGGAAAGCUGUCUAGGGUUUUGAGCAGCCAGUCUCUCAUGUCAGCCAACAAUGGAAAAAGGGUAGCAAUAUCUGACGCGAUCAUGGAAAAGCCCAGAUUUAGCGGUAGGGUUUCAUACUCGUCUUUGCUAGGAGCUUCACCGAUGUCAGAUAGUUUGGUGAUGAUUGGUGCCGAGAGGAAUGGGAGGAAGCGGAAAGCGGCUCCAAAGUGCCAAGGAAAAAUCUCACCUUUGUCUUCCCCCAACAUGAAUCCUCCCAAGGAGGUAAUUUCUGGUACAAAGAAAUGCAAACUGCACGAGGGCAUGAGCAGAACAUCAAUGGUAGCCGGAAACUGGGAGAAGAUGCCAAACUGUUUGAGCCGCCAAAGGAUUACAUCCAUAUCAUGGCAAGAAGAGGGCAAGCCACCGACAACCACAACCUAGCUGAGAGGAGAGAAAAGAUCAGUGAGAGAAUGAAGCUUCUCCAAAAUCUUGUGCCAGGUUGCAACAAGGUGGCAGGCAAGGCUGUUAUGCUCGAUGAGAUCAUCAACUACGUGCAGUGCUUGCAGUGGCAAGUUGAGGUGAGACCCUUGCUAUAGAUAGCAAUGGAAGAUGCAGUAUACGAUGCCCUUAUGUAUCCAUUCUUAUACAAUGACUACGGUCCUGUUGAGGCAGGGAGAAUGGUGGCAUGCACUGCUGCUUGUUUGUGCCAUGCUGCAGCUCUUCGCCCAAGCAUGAGUCAAUUGUUUGCAUUUGAAGAUCAGACUACUGUUCAAUCUCCACCAGGAUCAUCAGCUGCCGAUACUUUGUUCCAAUCAGUACAUUGAGAACAACUUUGCUCGUGGUUCUAACUCCAUCAACAACAAAUCCUUAAAAACUCCAUGUGAAGAAACCAUUGAGAUUUAAGUUGCAAUCAAUUCAGAUGCUGUGAGAUUAUUAAUAUUCAUCAAGUUUUGUAAUAUUUAUUCAAAGAUGAUCCGGUGGUAAGAGCCCGGGACGCCCUAACAAGGGGUCAAUGCCACAUGGAGGUCAAAGGGCCAGGUGGUUCGUCGAAGAAGGGUGAGCCAACCGAACGCAUGGAAAAAGGGUAGGCCGAUCGGCCUGCCCGUAAACGUUUGAUAGUGAAAGACGCCCUGACAGGGGUCGGGGUUCCGACGCUCAAUGAAACAGUAAAUAAGGACCGAGCGGAAGGCCUAGGAGAAGGCAGGACAUAAUGGGAGCGCCGGCCGGCUGGCGCGGGGAAUUAGGGCCAUCCGGACGACGCUCUUCGCGCCGGUCGGCCGGACGGACGUCCUGGCCGGGCGGUGGGUGAAGGAUAGGAACAUCUUCUGACAGCCGUCAAGUCCUAUGGCUAGGCCAUACUCUAAG